UCAUGUGUUUCCACAUGAACCAUUCGAUGCUAAUGUUUAUGUGAUGUGUGCUGUUUUUCAGUAAACGGAAUGCGAGGAACUCGUCGAUCAGCUAGAUUGACUAGAGUACCACCGGAGGAUGAGGGCACGAGCGCCCGUCCUCCAGCAUUGCCAAGGGCAAUGUCAAGUAGGUCCAACAGGGACAGAGCAGUGGGAGACCCUAGAAGGUCUCUGGAUCUGGGUAGAAACAGAUCAGUAAGAGGAACGGUUCAAGGAGGCAGGUCAGUGGAUGUGGGAGAAGAGAUGGAUGUGGACCAGAGGAGGGACGGUAGCCUUGGUGUAAGCAUGCUAGAAGAGGGCAUGGGUGAGUCUCAGGGAGGCACUCAGGCCUCGGGGUUUGUUCCACCACCCCAGUACCCACCUUUUUCACCAUACCACGGGUAUUCGAUGGGAAGUACAUCGGAUUACCCCAGUUUUAAUCCUUACCCUUCUCACAUGCCAUACCCACCUUUCUACCCACAGUAUCCACAGUACCCUAUGUACCCACCUCCAUCCUUCCAUCCAGGCACAGCAAACCCUAUCCCAGGGGAUGCCGCACCUCCACCACCAGCAGAAACCGCAGUUACAGAAACCCAAAGACCUCAACCUACCUCAUCUGGAGGGAGCAAGGCCAAGAUGACCGACUAUAUGAAGUUGGGUGCUCCCCAGUUUGAUACCGGUGAUGAUCCGUUUGUGUACCUGGAGAAGGUCAAAACAAUUACAGAUGAGAUAGGUGCUGAUGACAGCAGAGCCAUUCAGAUGGCUGGUUUCACCCUGAAAUGCAAAAAGGCACGAGAGUGGUUCAAGGGCUAUGUGAAACCGAGGGUGGACAGUCUUUCAUGGGAGGAGUUUGCGAAUGAGUUCGCAGGAUGGGCUUUCCCUGACAGUUUAAGGGAGCUGAAGAUGAUUGAGUUUGAACAGCUGAGGCAGACAGAUGAGAUGGGUGUCGAUGAGUACACCGAUAGAUUCUUAGAGUUGUUGCCGUUUGCUGGGCAACAUCUGGACACAGAUCCGAAGAAGUCAAGGAGGUAUAUCAUGAGGCUCCAUUCCAGGUAUUCCUCCUUGAUUCAGUCAGCUGAUAGAGAAAGUUUCCAUGCCAUUGUAGACAUGGCCAGGAGAAUGGAGGCUAGUGCAAUCAUCGAGGGGACAGUUAAACAGUCAGUGACACAGCCUUCAGGUUCUAAGACCCCAGGUGGGGGAAGGAUAGACCCUUC
rnacentral:lncRNA from 1 species